rnacentral:rRNA from 1 species
CCCUGCCAUUUGUACACACCGCCCGUCGCUACUACCGAUUGAAUUAUUUAGUGAGGUCUCCGGACGUGAAUUACUGUGACGCCUUGUGUGUUACGGAUAUUUCGCAAAAGUUGACCGAACUUGAUUAUUUAGAGGAAGUAAAAGUCGUAACAA